rnacentral:tRNA from 1 species
AUGACGGUGGCAGGUGGGUGUGAAGCGCUGCUAACGUUUACAUCGUUAGGCUAUGCAAGCGCCUGUACGGGUGUUCUGAGGUCUUCCUCGUCACC